ensembl:lncRNA
AUGAUCAAGGGUCUGGAGAACAAGCCCUAUGAGGAGCGGCUUAAAGAACUAGGCAUGUUUAGCCUGCAGAAGAGAAGGCUGAGAGGAGACAUGAUAGCCAUGUACAAAUACGUGAAGGGAAGUCAUAGGGAGGAGGGAGCAAGCUUGUUUUCUGCUGCCCUGCAGACUAGGAACAAUGGCUUCAAACUACAGGAAAGGAGAUUCCACCUGAACAUCAGGAAGAACUUCCUCACUGUGAGAAGGGCUGUUCGACAGUGAAACUCUCUUCCCCAGACUGUGGUGGAGGCUCCUUCUUUGGAGGCUUUUAAACAGAGGCUGGAUGGCCAUCUGUCGGGGGUGCUUUGAAUGCGAUUUCCUGCUUCUUAGCAGGGGGUUGGACUGGAUGGCCCAUGAGGUCUCUUCCAACUCUACUAUUCUAUGAUUCUAUGAUUCUAGCUGCUGUUAAUAGCAUGUCUAUUAAAUUUUUCCCUCUUAUCUUUCUCAUCCUCUUUUUUAAUUAAAAGUAAUAUUUCCACUGGAUUCCUUCUAAUUUUUAUAGUCAUAAUAUUAUCUAUUUCCCUUAUAACCUAUUCCCAAAAAUCUUUUACAUGUUUACAAUCCCACCACAUAUAAUAAUAAUAAUAAUAAUAAUAAUAAUAAUAAUAAUAAUAAUAAUAAUUUUAUUUUUGUACCCCGCCACCAUCUCCCCAGAGGGACUCGGGGUGGCUUACAGAUAUAAAACCAACAUACAAUAAUAUCAAAUACAAAAACACACAAAUAAAUUUAAAAGGCAUUAAAAAAAAUCACAAUCAUUAUAAAACACUUGAGAAACACAGCAAUAAAAACAUAAAAUGAGGUUCCAAUUUCCUGGCACCCUCGCCAGCAUUUUUCAUUAUUAUUCUUAUUCAUAAUAUUUAACCUUCUCGGUGUUAAAUACCACUUCCAAAUUAGUUAAUAAUAAUAAUUUUCUUUUAUUCUAAUUGACAUGUUUUUUAAUUGUCUUGGUUUCCAUAUCUCGGGCUGGGGGAUUUCUAGUGUACCCCAAGGAGUAAAGUUUCCUUCUCUGUCCCUUCACAGCAUGUUCCUGUGGCCUCAUGCCCAGUUUGGGGGAUUUACUGUUGUCACCUGAAAAGCAGAAGAGCGGGUGUCUAAAAUUUAGGGAAGCAGAUUUCAUUACCAAGAUCUUAUUUUUUUUUGUUAAAAGCCCAAUUUCCCCUGUGGUACAACUUACCACUCUGAGAGACGAAAACAUCAAACAGGCUAUUUAAGAAAAUAUGAUAAAAUGCCAACAUACACAUAAUUAAACAGAAAAAAGGCAUUUCUGUGCUGGGAAAUGAUCUGCAGAGAUGCACAGGUAUAGCCCCCUGUACUGAAAACAGAAGCAUAGUUUUUAAUUACAUAGUUCAGGGCAAUAGAAAUUAGAUUGCUUUCAUCCAAAUUUUAAAAAUAGUUGUCAAAGCCAAAUGUCUUUUCCGGUUUUUGCAGUUAGUGAAACAGUGUGGGGAGUUAGUGAAACAGUGAGCAACCAGAUGUUGUUUGAUCUUGGGUGUUAAGCAGGUUCAGCCUUGAUUAGUACUUAGAUGGGAACUAAUGAAUACCAGGUGCUGUAGGCAAUAUUUCAGAGGAAGGAACUACACAGCCAGGUUGUUAACAGGAGCUAGUUACAGGGAGCGUACCACACCUCUUCUGAAGCAUCUCCAUUGUCUGCCAAUAAGUUUCUGGUCCCAAUUCAAAGUAUAGGUUAAAAAAGGUAAAAGUUUCCCCUGACGUUAAGUCCAGUAAUGUCUGACUCUGGGGGUUGGUGCUAAUCUCAAUUUCUAAGCCAAAGAGCCGUAGACACCUCCAAGGUCAUGUGGCCGGCAUGACUGCAUGGAGCGCCAUUACCUUCCCGCCAGAGCGGUACCCAUUGAUCUACCCACAUUGGAAUGUUUUCGAACUGCUAGGUUGCCAGAAGCUGGAGCUUACAGUGGGAGCUCACUCUGCUCCCCGGAUUUGAACCUGGGACCUUUUGGUCUGCAAGUUCAGCAGCUCAGCGCUUUAACACACUGUGCCACCGGAGGCUCCUGAUUA